UUAUUGCAUAAAGAAUAUUACUUCUGCAGUCACCUACAACUGUCAGAAUGAAAGCCAUUUGUGCGUUUUUCUCCUGCUUCCCCAAAGAACUGAAUGUAUAUCCAAAAAUAGAACGCCAUCUAUUUUUUUCCAUGAUGUUUCAUUGACUAAUUUCCUUCCUUCUCCCUUCCUCCCUCCCUGCUAAUACUGAAUGUGUCAUUUCGUUUUUACUUAUAUUAAGGUGGAAUCAAGCUUCGUGUACUUGCAUUUCUGACUAAGACCCUGAAUCCCAGAAGGCUGCUCUACGUGCUGCUUCAUUUUAAACUUAGUGGGUAAAAUCCUGACUGUGUUCCUAUGGGGCUGUGACUGUGGCUUAAAUGGGGGACUUGUGGAAGAAGCUGGGUAGGAGCCUGUGUGUUUUCUUACAUUGCCUCCACCAGUGCAAUGGCCAGAUCAUGCAUAACAGCUAUUUUUGAGCUUUGCAUUAGAAAGACCGUGUUUUAAACCUGAUUUUAAAGGGCAUUAAGCAGCGCUAAUCGGUAUGUUAAUGAGGCUUAUUGUUUUGGGAAGAACUGCAGUGUUUAAACAGACUGGUGAUAUCCUAUUUAUUGUUUGUGAGGAGCAAAUGGCAAAAUGAGCCUGUGUAGCGGAUUAUGAAUUGGAAGAGGGGAGAAAAAAAUACUUAAUUCCUAAACACAGCCAUACCAACUUGUUUGCUCUGCACAGAUUCCAGAUGAAUUUCAGUUUACCACACUUCUGAAAUGGUGGCCUUCCUGUGUACCUCUGCCAGAGGAAAAGGACUACAGUGGUUUAACACAGAGCAUGUUGAGCAAUCAGUUGAAAAUCACGUGCAAACACUGCCUAAGUACCGAUAAGAAUCAUGGAGGUAAACAAUGAAUUCCUACUAAUGGCUAAGUCACCAAGGUAAGAUCGAGUCUAAAUACACACCCUUAGUUAAAUAUAAUUUCAUUAACUCAGGUUACGUGGCUUCAGUAAAGGUUUUUUCCCCUCUUCCCUGCUCUCCACUUUCUGACACUUGUCAAAUGAAUUGCAUACAACCAAUCCAUCAUCUUCAGCUUUGUUUGUCUAUACCAGAGAUGUGUUGAGCUGAGCAAUAACCCAGCAGUUCUGUAAAUCUCAC
rnacentral:lncRNA from 1 species